rnacentral:rRNA from 1 species
UAGGGAAUCUUCCACAAUGGGCGGCAAGCCUGAUGGAGCAACACCGCGUGAGUGAAGAAGGGUUUCGGCUCGUAAAGCUCUGUUGUUAAAGAAGAACGUGGGUAAGAGUAACUGUUUACCCAGUGACGGUAUUUAACCAGAAAGCCACGGCUAACUACGUCCCAG